rnacentral:rRNA from 1 species
UACACUCCUACGGGAGGCAGCAGUGGGGAAUAUUGCACAAUGGGCGCAAGCCUGAUGCAGCGACGCCGCGUGGGGGAUGAAGGCCUUCGGGUUGUAAACUCCUUUCGCUAGGGACGAAGCUUUUUUGUGACGGUACCUAGAUAAGAAGCACCGGCUAACUACGUGCCAGCAGCCGCGGUAAUACGUAGGGUGCGAGCGUUGUCCGGAAUUACUGGGCGUAAAGGGCUCGUAGGUGGUUUGUCGCGUCGUCUGUGAAAUUCUGGGGCUUAACUCCGGGCGUGCAGGCGAUACGGGCAUAACUUGAGUGCUGUAGGGGUAACUGGAAUUCCUGGUGUAGCGGUGAAAUGCGCAGAUAUCAGGAGGAACACCGAUGGCGAAGGCAGGUUACUGGGCAGUUACUGACGCUGAGGAGCGAAAGCAUGGGUAGCGAACAGGAUUAGAAACCCUGGUAGUCCCAU